CACGUUCGGCUAAUGAGCUAAUAAACAAACAAACGUGAACAACUUUACAACAAACUUCGAGUAGAUGUGUCUUCAGCUGCUCGCAGAGGAUAUGUAGCAUGAGUAUCCAGGCCUAGACUGUCAGGUGAAGAAAAAAUGGUCGGACCUCAAAAUCGCCGGCGUGUUGCUGCCCUUAGGCACAACACCAUGCAGACUGGAGGGGGCUAGCCGGCCGCGCUCAUCAGAUCUGCUUCAAUUUCGGGCAUAAGUGGCGGAGACACAGAUGCACCACCUGUGUCUAAGCCAGAUAAUGAUCAGUCAGAGCCAGGCACCAGUGGAGUUCAGCCCUCAGCUACACAAACCGGCCCUGGACCAGCCCCACCGAGCCAGGCAACCACUAGCUGUGAGGGCGCGUCCUCCACCCCCCGUGCUGGCCCACUGCCACGACCCUGGAAUUCUGACAGCAGAGGUCCUAGAGAAACAAACCGAAAUUUGUAGGUCAGUGGCGGAGAUAAAUUGUUCACUUCUAGCCAUCAAUGACACUUUAAAAGAGAUAAACAAAAACCUGAAACGUGCAUCACAUAAAUAAAAUGUUUGAUUGAA